rnacentral:rRNA from 1 species
GAUGAACGCUGGCGGCGUGCCUAAUACAUGCAAGUCGAGCGAACGGACGAGAAGCUUGCUUCUCUGAUGUUAGCGGCGGACGGGUGAGUAAAACGUGGAUAACCUACCUAUAAGACUGGGAUAACUUCGGGAAACCGGAGCUAAUACCGGAUAAUAUUUUGAACCGCAUGGUUCAAAAGUGAAAGACGGUCUUGCUGUCACUGAUAGAUGGAUCCGCGCUGCAUUAGCUAGUUGGUAAGGUAACGGCUUACCAAGGCAACGAUGCAUAGCCGACCUGAGAGGGUGAUCGGCCACACUGGAACUGAGACACGGUCCAGACUCCUACGGGAGGCAGCAGUAGGGAAUCUUCCGCAAUGGGCGAAAGCCUGACGGAGCAACGCCGCGUGAGUGAUGAAGGUCUUCGGAUCGUAAAACUCUGUUAUUAGGGAAGAACAUAUGUGUAAGUAACUGUGCACAUCUUGACGGUACCUUAUCAGAAAGCCACGGCUAACUACGUG